rnacentral:tRNA from 1 species
AAUUUAAAUAAUUUAAUUUAAAAAUAUUGAUUUGUGGGAUCAAAUAUAUGAUUUGUUCAUUUUAAGUA